AAAGACUUAGUCCCAAUCCUGCAGUUGGUUUUCACCAAACACAUACAUGCAAGUAUCCGCACCCCAGUGCAAAUGCCCCCGGCAAUCUUACCAAGACAAGAGGAGCCGGCAUCAGGCUCGCCCGAGCAGCCAAAGACGCCUUGCUUAGCCACACCCCCACGGGCAUCCAGCAGUAGUUAACAUUGAGCAAUAAGCGCAAGCUCGACUCAGUUAUGGUGAACCUGGGCCGGUAAACCUUGUGCCAGCCACCGCGGCCAUACAAGGGGCCCAAAUCAACAGCCUUCGGCGUAAAGAGUGGACCUAUACCAUCCCACCAGCUGGGGUUAAAACGCAGCUAUGCCGUCAUAUGCCAGAGCCGCACAUAAAGCCCCCCUCCCCAGCCUACCAGACCGGCUAGACUCCACGAAAGCUAGGACACAAACUGGGAUUAGAUACCCCACUAUGCCCAGCCAUAAAUCCAGACGUCUUCCCCUACCAAGACGCCCGCCAGGGGAUUACGAGCGCAACCGCUUAAAACCCUAAGGACUUGGCGGUGCUUCAAACCCACCUAGAGGAGCCUGUUCUAUAAUCGAUAACCCACGAUACACCCGACCGCCCCUUGCCCAAAGCAGCCUACAUACCGCCGUCACCAGCCCCCCUUCCCUGAGAGCCCAACAACGAGCACAAUAGCCACCCGCUAACAAGACAGGUCGAGGUAUAGCCCAUGGGGCGGAAGAAAUGGGCUACAUUUUCUAACAUAGAAUACCACGAAAAUGGGCAUGAAACUGCCCCUAGAAGGCGGAUUUAGCAGUAAAGGGGGACAAUACCGCCCCCUUUAAACCGGCCCUGGAGCACGUACAUACCGCCCGUCACCCUUCUCGAAAGCCCCCCUUCCCAAUAACUAAUACACCCCCGCACCAAAGAGUAGGCAAGUCGUAACAAGGUAAGUGUACCGGAAGGUGCACUUAGCAAA
rnacentral:ncRNA from 1 species